GUACCAACUGUCAGCACAGCUCCACUCCUUGUGCUCCACAGCGCCAGUGAACACACAAUCCAGAUGCUUGCCUCAUGCAGCUCCCGUUAACAGCAACAGGACCUGCUCCUAGGAUGGUGUGACUCCAGGGGGCAGUGAGGCAAAUCCUUGUCCAGAGAACCUUUCUGUUGCAGAAGUGGUGAAAUGCCCAGAGAACAAAGCAGUGCGUUUCAUGAAGAUGGAGGCUGGCCUUAGCCUCAGACAGAUGGCUGAUCCAGCACAAGCCAUAGAGGAGAAACAGAUGUCUCCCCUUUG